rnacentral:rRNA from 1 species
CCCUUAGAUGUUCUGGGCUGCACGCGCGCUACACUGAAGCGUUCAACGAGUAUUCACCUUGCCCGGGAGGGUUGGGUAAUCUUUUGAAAACGCCUCGUGAUGGGGAUAGAUUAUUGCAAUUAUUAAUCUUCAACGAGGAAUUCCUAGUAAGCGCGAGUCAUCAGCUUGCGUUGAUUACGUCCCUGCCCUUUGUACACACCGCCCGUCGCUCCUACCGAUUGAAUGGUCCGGUGAAGCGUUCGGACCGUGGCCUUUGGACGGUUCGCCGUCUGUUGGCUGCGGGAAGUUCGUUAAACCUUAUCAUUUAGAGGAAGGAGAAGUCGUAACA